rnacentral:rRNA from 1 species
AGAGUUUGAUCCUGGCUCAGGACGAACGCUGGCGGCGUGCUUAACACAUGCAAGUCGAACGGUAAGGCUCUUUCGGGGGUACACGAGUGGCGAACGGGUGAGUAACACGUGGGUGACCUGCCCCCCACUUUGGGAUAAGCCUGGGAAACUGGGUCUAAUACCGGAUAUGACUCGCGGUUGCAUGAUUGCGGGUGGAAAGUUUUUUCGGUGGGGGAUGGGCCCGCGGCCUAUCAGCUUGUUGGUGGGGUGAUGGCCUACCAAGGCUUCGACGGGUAGCCGGCCUGAGAGGGCGUCCGGCCACACUGGGACUGAGACACGGCCCAGACUCCUACGGGAGGCAGCAGUGGGGAAUAUUGCGCAAUGGGCGGAAGCCUGACGCAGCGACGCCGCGUGGGGGAUGACGGCCUUCGGGUUGUAAACCUCUUUCGACCUCGACGAAGAAUGAUUGACGGUAGGGGUGGAAGAAGCACCGGCCAACUACGUGCCAGCAGCCGCGGUAAUAC